rnacentral:lncRNA from 10 species
UUUUCCACUCCUUCUUUAGCCUCCCUAGGAGAUGCCCGGUGGCUUCUAUUUUCAGAAGAUAGAUAUUUAAGUCACAAUAUUCUGGACUCUGGCUUAGUUAGACCAACCGUCUCUUGAUCGUCUGUGGAAACUGAAUCAGGAACACCCCAGAGAGCUGGCUCUGGAUGUAAUUCACAGCUUCAUUUAAUUAUUAUCAUCAAAGUUAAUGAAGGCCAUAAACUGUUUCAUAACAUACCAAUGGGAAGUGUGAUUGGAGGGAAAGCUGGACACCUCACCAUAAAACUGGCACAGCAGAAACGGCUCGACUUAACAAAACCUUCUUAUGAAGAAAAAGACAAUGAAACCAUGUUCAGUUUAGUGAACCUUUCACACUUGGCAACAUGAAUGUUAAGUCAAAAGAACAAUGGAGCUAUGAGUUUUUUUAAUCAAAUUUUUAUUUUGGGUCAAAUAAGCCAUUUUGUUUGUUUGUUAUUAAGUGUAAAGAGAGCUUUCGGUUAGCUAUUUAGUUAUAACUUUAUCUCACCCACUUCUAAAAAAGCGUUGAGGCUACUUGAAGUAAAGUCCUGUAGACGAGAGAGCGUAACACUAAAAGAUAGAAAGAAAACUUAGAAGAUGGAAGAGAAAUAAUUGCACUAGAAACCUGGCCAAUAUCAUGAACAGGCUCCAUAUAGGGACUCCUGUAUAUAGAUCGCUGUGUGUGUGGAUAGUACGUUCAAUAAAUGUAUUAUCUGAACUGCUUUUAAAGUUCUACUCUUGGAUUCCUGAAAUACUAUCUCUAUGGAUUUGCCUAUUCUGGAUGCUUCAUAUAGAUGGAAUCAUUCAUUACGCAACCCUUUGUAUCUGGCUUCUUUCAUUUAGCAUGAGGCUUUCCAGG